rnacentral:rRNA from 1 species
CGCGGCCUAUCAGCUUGUUGGUGGGGUAAAGGCCUACCAAGGCGACGACGGGUAGCCGGCCUGAGAGGGCGACCGGUCACACUGGGACUGAGACACGGCCCAGACUCCUACGGGAGGCAGCAGUAGGGAAUAUUGCGCAAUGGACGAAAGUCUGACGCAGCAACGCCGCGUGAGGGAUGAAGUACAUCGAGAUGUAAACCUCUUUCAGCAGGGACGAAGCUAACGUGACGGUACCUGCAGAAGAAGCACCGGCUAACUACGUGCCAGCAGCCGCGGUAAUACGUAGGGUGCAAGCGUUGUCCGGAUUUAUUGGGCGUAAAGGGCUCGUAGGCGGUCUGUCGCGUCGGAUGUGAAAACUCGGAGCUUAACUCCGGGCCUGCAUUCGAUACGGGCAGACUAGAGUUCGGUAGGGGAGACUGGAAUUUCUGGUGUAGCGGUGGAAUGCGCAGAUAUCAGGAAGAACACCGAUGGCGAAGGCAGGUCUCUGGGCCGACACUGACGCUGAGGAGCGAAAGCAUGGGGAGCGAACAGGAUUAGAUACCCUGGUAGUCCAUGCCGUAAACGGUGGGCGCUAGGUGUGGGGAAUAAUCUACAUUCUCCGCGCCGCAGCUAACGCAUUAAGCGCCCCGCCUGGGGAGUACGG